UACGUAGGGGGCAAGCGUUGUCCGGAAUCCUUGGGCGUAAAGAGCGUGUAGGCGGCUCGAUAAGUCCGCUGUGAAAGUCCAGGGCUCAACCCUGGAAGGCCGGUGGAAACUGUCGGGCUAGAGUCCGGAAGAGGCGAGUGGAAUUCCCGGUGUAGCGGUGAAAUGCGCAGAUAUCGGGAGGAACACCAUUGGCGAAGGCAGCUCGCUGGGACGGUACUGACGCUGAGACGCGAAAGCGUGGGGAGCAAACAGG
rnacentral:rRNA from 1 species